UAACCCAUCACGCCUGGCGUGGUCUUGGGGUUCGCAUUCUAGCGGCCCCUAAAAUCAGUGGCGGUGUCCGUUGGGCUCUAAGCGUAGUAAUUUCUCCUCGCUUCUGGGCUCUGCAGGCGCUAGCCAGAACCCCCAACUUUCUCAGG
rnacentral:misc_RNA from 1 species